rnacentral:rRNA from 1 species
AGAGCGAACGCUGGCGGCAGGCCUAACACAUGCAAGUCGAGCGCCCCGCAAGGGGAGCGGCAGACGGGAGAGUAACACGUGGGAACGUACCCUUUGGUUCGGAACAACACAGGGAAACUUGUGCUAAUACCGGAUAAGCCCUUACGGGGAAAGAUUUAUUGCCAAAAGGAUCGGCCCGCGUCUGAUUAGCUUGUUGGUGAGGUAACGGCUCACCAAGGCUACGAUCAGUAGCUGGUCUGAGAGGAUGAUCAGCCUCACUGGGACUGAGACACGGCCCAGACUCCUACGGGAGGCAGCAGUGGGGAAUAUGGACAAUGGGCGCAAGCCUGAUCCAGCCAUGCCGCGUGGAUGAUGAAGGCCCUAGGGUUGUAAAAGUCCUUUCGACGGGGAAGAUAAUGACGGUACCCGUAGAAGAAGCCCCGGCUAAACUUCGUAGCCAGCAGCCGC